rnacentral:rRNA from 1 species
AACGAACGCUGGCGGCAUGCCUAACACAUGCCAGUCGAACGAGACCUUCGGGUCUAGUGGCGCACGGGUGCGUAACGCGUGGGAACCUGCCCUUAGGUUCGGAAUAACUCCCCGAAAGGGGUGCUAAUACCGGAUAAUGUCUUCGGACCAAAGAUUUAUCGCCUUUGGAUGGGCCCGCGUUGGAUUAGCUAGUUGGUAGGGUAAAAGCCUACCAAGGCGACGAUCCAUAGCUGGUCGGAGAGGAGGAUCAGCCACACUGGGACUGAGACACGGCCCAGACUCCUACGGGAGGCAGCAGUGGGGAAUAUUGGACAAUGGGCGAAAGCCUGAUCCAGCAAUGCCGCGUGAGUGAUGAAGGCCUUAGGGUUGUAAAGCUCUUUUACCCGGGAUGAUAAUGACAGUACCGGGAGAAUAAGCACCGGCUAACUCCGUG